UAUGAGAGUUUGAUCCUGGCUCAGGAUGAACGCCGGCGGUGUGCCUAAUACAUGCAAGUCGAACGCGUUGGCCCAACUGAUUGAACGUGCUUGCACGGACUUGACGUUGGUUUACCAGCGAGUGGCGGACGGGUGAAUAACACGUAGGUAACCUGCCCCAAAGCGGGGGAUAACAUUUGGAAACAGAUGCUAAUACCGCAUAACAAUUUGAAUCGCAUGAUUCAAAUUUAAAAGAUGGUUUUGGCUAUCACUUUGGGAUGGACCUGCGGCGCAUUAGCUUGUUGGUAGGGUAACGGCCUACCAAGGCUGUGAUGCGUAGCCGAGUUGAGAGACUGAUCGGCCACAAUGGAACUGAGACACGGUCCAUACUCCUACGGGAGGCAGCAGUAGGGAAUCUUCCACAAUGGGCGCAAGCCUGAUGGAGCAACACCGCGUGAGUGAAGAAGGGUUUCGGCUCGUAAAGCUCUGUUGUUAGAGAAGAACGUGCGUGAGAGCAACUGUUCACGCAGUGACGGUAUCUAACCAGAAAGUCACGGCUAACUACGUGCCAGCAGCCGCGGUAAUACGUAGGUGGCAAGCGUUAUCCGGAUUUAUUGGGCGUAAAGCGAGCGCAGGCGGUUUGAUAAGUCUGAUGUGAAAGCCUUUGGCUUAACCAAAGAAGUGCAUCGGAAACUGUCAGACUUGAGUGCAGAAGAGGACAGUGGAACUCCAUGUGUAGCGGUGGAAUGCGUAGAUAUAUGGAAGAACACCAGUGGCGAAGGCGGCUGUCUGGUCUGCAACUGACGCUGAGGCUCGAAAGCAUGGGUAGCGAACAGGAUUAGAU
rnacentral:rRNA from 1 species